UCCGGUUUAACACCGGCAGUCUUCUCAGAGUGCCCAACUUAAUGGUGGCAACUAAGAACAGGGGUUGCGCUCGUUAUUGGACUUAACCAGACAUCUUACGACACGAGCUGACGACAGCCAUGCAGCACCUAUCUCCGCGCCUCCGAAGAGGACAUGACAUCUCUGCCACUAGCACGGGAUGUUAAGGGUAGGUAAGGUUCUGCGCGUUGCUUCGAAUUAAACCACAUACUCCACCGCUUGUGCGGGCCCCCGUCAAUUCCUUUGAGUUUCGGCCUUGCGACUGUACUCCCCAGGCGGGAUACUUAACGCGUUAGCUGUAGUACUCAGGGGGUUAAUUCCCCAAACACCUAGUAUCCAUAGUUUACGGCGUGGACUAC
rnacentral:misc_RNA from 1 species